GCAGUGGUCAGCCGCACAGACUUCGAACCUGGUGCUGGUUGGGAUGCUCAGCG
rnacentral:tRNA from 1 species